UACGUAGGGUGCGAGCGUUAAUCGGAAUUACUGGGCGUAAAGCGUGCGCAGGCUGUUCUGUAAGUCAGAUGUGAAAUCCCCGAGCUCAACUUGGGAACUGCGUUUGAAACUACAGGACUAGAAUAUGUCAGAGGGGGGUAGAAUUCCACGUGUAGCAGUGAAAUGCGUAGAGAUGUGGAGGAAUACCAAUGGCGAAGGCAGCCCCCUGGGCCUGCACUGACGCUCAUGCACGAAAGCGUGGGGAGCAAACAGG
rnacentral:rRNA from 1 species